AUAAGUAAAUUAUUACUAUUCCCCUUUCCAACUCGACCCUCUUUAAGGAGCCUGUUUAACAAAAACAUAGCCUACUAUUUAACUUAGGUACAACCCUGCCCUCUGACUUUUAACAGCCGCGGUAUCCUAACCGUGCUAAGGUAGCAUAAUCACUUGCCUAUUAAUUAUAGGCUAGAAUGAACGGGAUCACUCACUUAAACUUAUUUUUAUUUAAAUUUAAAUUAAACUUUAAGUCAAAAUACUAAAUUAAAAAGAAAGACAAAAAGACCCUGAAAACUAUUAGAAAUAAUUAGUUGGGGCAACUAUAGACCACUCUAGCGUCUAUUUUUUUUUAAACUCUUAAAAUCUAAAGUAUCCAGUUACUUCAGGGAUAACAGACUAAUUUUAUUAUUUAGACCCAAUAAAUAAUAAAGAUUGGCACCUCGAUGUUGGCUUAUAUUUCCUUCAUAUAGCAACAUAUAUAGAAGGCAGCUUGUUCAUCUGUUAAAUAUUUACAUGAGCUGAGUUCAGACCG
rnacentral:rRNA from 1 species